UGCCAAGGUUUGGCUUAGCAGAGGCUGAAACUGGGUGAGCAAGGUAUCUAAUCCAUGGUGAUACCGGGAGGAGGCAGGGCUGAAGUGCUGCCAGACUCCAAAGGUCCCAGGACAAAAGUGGAGUAAACUGCAGAUCUGAAAGGGAAAUAUUCAUCUUAAAAACAAAAAAAGAAGAAAGAGGGAGCAAAAAUCCAGUAAAAGGCCAGGUGAAAAGAGAGCAGAAUAAAACAAGGUGGAAAGCAAAGUGAGACGGGUGGUUCCUGAUGGUCAGAUUUUCCAGUCGCCGGUUCCAGGACACUGCAGAGACCAUGCAGCGGGGGGAUGGCCACCGCACUUGGACACGAUUCAUUCCAUCCUCUUGAUUCUCUGAACUCUCUUCUUGAAUCAUGGUGCCGUGGUCCCCUCUGCAAAGACACAGCUCUUUCAACACACCCCGAGGAGGACAAAAGGAGGAAUAGGGUGGAACAGACCCCCGGAGCUCGGUCCUGCAGUGUUGGAAACAUCGCCCAACUCUAGGUUUCGGCUUGCUCACCCGGGAAUGGAGCCGGCGGUGGAGGAAGUGAAUUAGAAAACAUCUGAGAUUCUUUCCACCUCUGAAAUUUUAGACGGCUGUCUGGUAAAUUGAUUAAAUUAUCGGAACGCCAGCCUCCUCGCCGACCAGGUGAGGGCUGCUGUGUACGGCUGCGCUGAAGCUCUCGGGCUUUUCUUACACGACUGCACAUGAAGCCCUGCGAACCCAGUGACGCGACUCGGACGGCUCCCCACCAAGCUGGAGCAAAG